GAAGUUUCAAAUUGUGUCAACAUUUAAUUACGGGAAAAAAUAUGAAAAAAUAAUAAGUUCAGCAUUAUCCUAGACACGAUUGAUAUCCCAGCACCCAAAGGAAAAUAUUAUUAACAGGAACGUGCCAACGGGACCCGAAGUGGAGAUUCAGGAAAAGAAACACACUAGGCAAGCUUGUAGGUUUCAAACGCGGAGCUGUCCCCUUUUCUAAAUUAACUAAGAUGUGAGAAGCGCUUUAGCUUUAAGAACACCACCGAGGAAGUGAACUAUUAUUAUAAUAACCCUAAUGGUUAUGACGUACCUAUCUAAGCUGCCGCAGUAACUCUCAAAUAAGUUUCAUAUAGUUUUUCUUGUGCCAAUAAUGGAUGGCAUGUGUGUGUACUGUGUAACUGUUUAUGAUUUGACAAAUUGAUAUGAAAAGCUUAUUUCAUAGUCCUCGAUGAAGUCGCGACCAUAUUUUAUUGUUUUGUUUACAAACCAAUUUUCUUUCCAGGGUGAUAUUUAAUUGUCCUACGCCGCAUGUCGAAGAAAAGGGACGAGAGAAAAUACUUUUUAUGUGUAAUAAAGAAGAUUCAUACAAUUUCUCUAUUGUGGUUCUAGAUGUUAAUAUAUAUUAGAUUUAAUAAUAAGAAAUCGAAUAUUGCAAGAAUAUAUAAGGCAAAGCAAUAUACUAUUAAUUUAAA